rnacentral:rRNA from 1 species
UACGUAGGGUCCGAGCGUUGUCCGGAAUUAUUGGGCGUAAAGGGCUCGUAGGCGGUUCGUCACGUCGGGAGUGAAAACUCGGAGCUUAACUCCGAGCCUGCUUCCGAUACGGGCAGACUAGAGGUAGGCAGGGGAGAGCGGAACUCCUGGUGUAGCGGUGGAAUGCGCAGAUAUCAGGAAGAACACCGGUGGCGGAAGGCGGCUCUCUGGGCCUUACCUGACGCUGAGACGCGAAAGCGUGGGGAGCGAACAGG